GAUGAAGAACGCAGCGAAAUGCGAUACUUGGUGUGAAUUGCAGAAUCCCGUGAACCAUCGAGUCUUUGAACGCAAGUUGCGCCCGAAGCCAUCAGGUUGAGGGCACGUCUGCCUGGGCGUCACAUAUCGUUGCCCAAUGCCUAUUGCAGUGCAAUAGGAAUUUCUAGGGCGAAUGAUGGCUUCCCGUGAGCGUUGUUGCCUCGCGGUUGGUUGAAAAUCGAGUCCUUGGUAGGGUGUGCCAUGGUAGAUGGUGGUCGAGUUAGAACGAUACCGAUCAUGUGCAUGCUCCCCAAAAUAUGGCCUCUAUGACCCACACGCGUCUUUUGACGCUCAUGACGAGACCUCAGGUCAGGCGGGACUACCCGCUGAAUUUAAGCAUAUCAAUAAGCGGAGGA
rnacentral:misc_RNA from 1 species